AGGGUUCGAUUAUGGCUCAGGAUGAACGCUAGCUACAGGCUUAACACAUGCAAGUCGAGGGGAAACGACAUCGAAAGCUUGCUUUUGAUGGGCGUCGACCGGCGCACGGGUGAGUAACGCGUAUCCAACCUGCCCACCACUUGGGGAUAACCUUGCGAAAGUAAGACUAAUACCCAAUGAUAUCUCUAGAAGACAUCUGAAAGAGAUUAAAGAUUUAUCGGUGAUGGAUGGGGAUGCGUCUGAUUAGCUUGUUGGCGGGGUAACGGCCCACCAAGGCGACGAUCAGUAGCCGGCCUGAGAGGGCGACCGGCCACAUUGGGACUGAGACACGGCCCAG
rnacentral:rRNA from 1 species